UACGUAGGGCGCAAGCGUUGUCCGGAAUUAUUGGGCGUAAAGAGCUCGUAGGCGGUUUGUCGCGUCUGCUGUGAAAACCUAAGGCUCAACCUUGGGCUUGCAGUGGGUACGGGCAGACUAGAGUGCGGGUAGGGGUGACUGGAAUUCCUGGUGUAGCGGUGGAAUGCGCAGAUAUCAGGAGGAACACCGAUGGCGAAGGCAGGUCACUGGGCCGCAACU
rnacentral:rRNA from 1 species